UGAAUUUUUCAUCCGGACAUUUUAAUUAAGGAUAUGUCUAUAAAACACCUGAAAACUGUGUCUAUUAAACCCUUUUAAAAACAACCAUUCAAAAAGACAAAAAAGUCAGAAGUAUACACACUGUUGAUAUGGCUAUAGAUGAAUAAGAUAAAGACACUUGUAAAAAAGAGAAAAAGGAAACCAAAAAAACAUUGUAUUACCAAAAAAAUAUGCAGUGUGAGGAGCUGUAAAAGAACCAAAAGCUUUUCCACCAGUACCACCAUCAAGCUUACUAUUUAAAGCAUCUCUUUUUUGAUUAUUGGGUAAAAGCUUUUCUCACCAAAUCUAUGUUUUAAAAUUUUAACCGAAUCUUCGGCAAUGAGAAAGAAAUCCAAUUUAUUUUAUUGCUCCUUUUAAGUGAGUGGUUUAGUCUAGUUUAAGUUUUGCCAUUUAACCUCUAAAGCAAGCCUCUAUUCGUGAAUGAGAAGAAAAAAAUUGUCUAAUUACAAUAAUGAGUCCGAAUGAAAUGGAAGAUGGAGGCAAUCAUUGAGCUCAACUUUUAUGUUAGAAAGUGAAUGAAUCUUGAAUUUCGAUUCUUGGCUCAAAUAUUUUUGGAGUUUGACCUGAGAGUUUAUUCAAUCUAAUAGUUGGAUUUUGUUUUAGUGGUUGAAGAGUAUUCAUUUGAUCGGAAGCCAGAGAGAUUGGGUGGAAAGGGAGAGAGUCAAGACUCUUGUUAACAGAAAGAAAAUAAACAAAGACAUACACCUAUCACCAGGUAUCAUUGAGGAGCAAGUUCGUGAUACGCCUACGACUUAAGAGAACUUGCUGCUUUCGAGACUAUUCGGUACACAGGGAGACGGUGCGGACGCGUAGGAGCUGAUUCAGCAGUUGUAGAGGAGCACCCCACUAUUUCUGAGGUACACAGGGAGACGGUACGAACGAGUUGGAGCUGACUCAGCAGUUACACAGGAGCACCCCACUAUUUCAGAGGUAGACAGGGAGACGAGCUUGAGCCAGACUCGUAGGAGUUGUUAGCUGAUUGAAAGCAUUCCUUUUUUCCGAAGGUAGACAGGGAGGUGAUCUUGAUCCAGACUCGUAGGAGCUGUUAGCUGAUUGAGAGCACUCCAUUGUUCCGGAGGUGCCCGAUUAUUCUUUUGUGUAUAUAUGCAUAUUUUGGGCACGACAGGGUCCUGUCCCGUCCUUAUGUCUAGCACUCUAGUGGAGGCUCGUAGAUAUGCAGUGUGGGUUGUAUGGUCUCGC